rnacentral:lncRNA from 1 species
AGGGUGGAGACCAAACCUGGGUCACAUCUCACUGAGGUAGUUGAAGCAAAGGUCCUAAAGUGAUCUAAUUAAGUGAUCUAACCAAAGGUUCCCUUGUCCUCAUCCAGGUUGUGUUCUUCCAUGGCCUUGUGGAUCAUGGCUGGAGCCCUUUCUUGGUCAGUCAUCUGUGGUGGAUCAAGGAACAGGCCCUCAGGGUACUCCCCCAGAAUGCUGCUGCCAGAGACCCUAUGGAACAAACCCUGGUCAGGGCUGGGUCUAAAGGGGCCUCACUGUCUUCUCUUGCUUCCCCAGGGACACUGCCACAGAGUGAGAGAAGACAUUUGGCAUUCUUUGCUAAAACUUGAACUGCCUCAGUCAAACCAACCAAGUUGGGAAGAGUAAGUGGAACAUGGGGCAUUUGGGGGACAUUGGCAUUGUUCUGCAUGAUAUUACAAUGAUGGAUACAAGUCAUUAUACAAUUGUCAGUGCGAAGUGUAAACCAUAAUGUAAACUAGAGACCAUGGUUAGUAGCAAUGUUUCAGUAUGUGUUCAUCAAUUGUGACAAAUGUGCCACACUGGAGAAAGAUGUUGUUAAUAGGGAAAAGUGUGGGAGGUGGAGGCAUUGGGGUAUAUGAGAAUCCCCUGUAUUCUUGAUGUCACAUUUAUGUAACCUAAAACUUCUUUAAAAAUAAAGAGAAUAAAAUCUAAACAAAGUAAAGCACAUGGAGAUACCACUACAUGCUUAACAGAAC